GUGUCAGCCGCCGCGGUAAUACGUAAGGUGCAAGCGUUGUCCGGAAUCACUGGGCGUAGAGGGCGCGUAGGCGGUUUGAUAAGUAGAAGGUGAAAGAUUCGAGCUCAACUCGAAAACUGCCUUCUAAACUGUCUUACUUGAGGGUCUGAGGGGAAACUGGAAUUCACGGUGUAGCGGUGAAAUGCGUAGAUAUCGUGGAGAACACCCGUGGCGAAAGCGGGUUUCUGGCAGACUCCUGACGCUGAGGCGCGAAGGCUAGGGGAGCAAACGGGAUUAGAUACCCCCGUAGUCC
rnacentral:rRNA from 1 species